ACUGCCCCUGUAGAGACGUAAAUACGACUGCCGUGUCGUUUUUAUGCCAGGCGGAGGCAGACAGGAAAUGGUGGCAGCCUGGAAAUCUUCAUCCUUGGAGAAUUGGGAUGAAAGAUGAUGAUAGCUGCUCGACAGC